UGUAAUUCUUUUUGCAGCCUUCCGCGUGGGCGGCAGCCUCACUGGAACGGGAGUGCACUAUUUGCAAAGGGGCGCCCACACCACUGCUCUGGAACGCGAAGACUGCGCAAGGUACACGGGUGGGAACCCCGCUGCCCAUUUGCUGGGAUUGUUACGGAAAAAUCUUGGCCGGCGGCAGGCCUCUAGAUCAUCUAGAGCAAUAUCUUGCCUCUACAGCUGUCGGUGGCGGCGGCGGGUCGAUACCGGAGUUUCUUGCAGCUCACGGUCACGGCGGCGGAUACUCUCAGUGGGCGGCUAAUCCAGUUGUCAGGACACUAUGCAUCACUACACUAGUUAUCUGAACUUCCUGUCUCUGAACAUACCUGAAGAAAUCGAUAUCUUCUCUCAAGAAUUCGACAGCAACUGAGUAUCAAGGCGCGAACCGGAUCGCUACCAGGGAGACGGACGGCUGGGAUGCUCUCCAGUUAUGGAAGAUGAACGGCUCUCGAAGAUUGUUCAGUGUCCGACAAUAGCUACACUUGACUGUAAGUAGCUUUUGGUGGUCGACCGGCAUCACCACCGCCAUUGCUGAAUGUCCUCUUAACUGCUGAGCCUUUUAUGCUUUGCUCUGUUUUGUUUGCUAUAUUCAAGUGCUCUGACAAUAGUAAAUGAUACCUCCUACUUUCUGUGGAUGUCAGUGUUAACUCGUUAAUCUUUGGUUUUGCCUCAAGUGUUUGACUGAUUAACUUUCA